rnacentral:rRNA from 1 species
CAACGGAUAAAAGGUACUCCGGGGAUAACAGGCUGAUACCGCCCAAGAGUUCAUAUCGACGGCGGUGUUUGGCACCUCGAUGUCGGCUCAUCACAUCCUGGGGCUGAAGCCGGUCCCAAGGGUAUGGCUGUUCGCCAUUUAAAGUGGUACGCGAGCUGGGUUUAGAACGUCGUGAGACAGUUCGGUCCCUAUCUGCCGUGGACGUUUGAGAUUUGAGAGGGGCUGCUCCUAGUACGAGAGGACCGGAGUGGACGAACCUCUGGUGUUCCGGUUGUCACGCCAGUGGCAUUGCCGGGUAGCUAUGUUCGGAAAAGAUA